AUGGCUCUACUGAUUCACCUAUUGGCAAAAAAAACAGCUUUACAACACCAGCUUUACAACACCAGCUUUACAAUACCAGCUUUACAAUACCAGCUUUACAACACCAGCUUUACAACAUCAACUUUACAACACCAGCUUUACAACGCCAGCUUUACAACACCAGCUUUACAAUACCAGCUUUACAACAUCCACUUACAACAUCCACUUUACAACACCAGCUUUACAACAUCCACUUUACAACAUCCACUUUACAACACUGACUUUACAAUACCAGCUUUACAAUACCAGCUUUACAAUACCAGCUUUACAAUACCAGCUUUACAACAUCCACUUUACAACACCAGCUUUACAAUACAAGCUUUACAACAUCCACUUUACAACAUCCACUUUACAACACCGACUUUACAAUAUCAGCUUUACAAUACCAGCUUUACAAUACCAGCUUUACAAUACCAGCUUUACAACAUCCACUUUACAACACCAGCUUUACAAUGCCAGCUUUACAACAUCCACUUUACAACACCAACUUUACAAUACCGGCUUUACAACACCAGCUUUACAAUACCAGCUUUACAAUACCAGCUUUACAACAUCCACUUUACAACACCAGCUUUACAAUACCAGCUUUACAACACCUGCUUUACAAUACCAGCUUUACAACACCAGCUUUACAAUACCAGCUUUACAACACCAGCUUUACAACACCAGCUUUACAAUACCAGCUUUACAAUACCAGCUUUACAACAUCAGCUUUACAAUACCAGCUUUAUAACACCAGCUUUACAACAUCAGCUUUACAAUACCAGCUUUACAAUACCAGCUUUACAAUACAACACCAGCUUUACAAUAUCAGCUUUACAAUACAACACCAGCUUUACAACAUCAGCUUUACAAUACCAGCUUUACAAUACCAGCUUUACAAUACCAGCUUUACAAUACCAGCUUUACAACACCAGCUUUACAAUACCAGCUUUACAACACCAGCUUUACAAUAACAGCUUUACGAUACCAGCUUUACAACACCAGCUUUACAAUACCAGCUUUACAACACCAGCUUUACAACACCAGCUUUACAACAUCCACUUUACAACAUCAGCUUUACAACAUCAGCUUUACAAUACCAGCUUUACAACAUCCACUUUACAACACCAGCUUUACAACAUCAGCUUUACAAUACCAGCUUUACAAUACCAGCUUUACAAUACCAGCUUUACAAUACCAGCUUUACAACACCAGCUUUACAACACCAGCUUUACAAUACCAGCUUUACAACAUCCGCUUCACACUACCAACUUUACAACAUCCGCUUCACACUACCAGCUUUACAAUACAAGCUUUACAACACCAACUUUACAAUACCAGCUUUACAAUACCAGCUUUACAAUAUCAGCUUUACAAUACCAGCUUUACAAUACCAGCUUUACAAUAUCAGCUUUACAAUACCAGCUUUACAAUACCAGCUUUACAAUACCAGCUUUACAAUACCAACUUUACAAUACCAGCUUUACAAUACCAGCUUUACAAUACCAGCUUUACAAUACCAGCUUUACAAUACCAGCUUUACAACACCAGCUUUACAAUACCAGCUUUACAAUACCAGCUUUACAACAGCAGCUUUACAAUAUCAGCUUUACAAUACCAGCUUUACAACACCAGCUUUACAAUACCAGCUUUACAAUACCAGCUUUACAAUACCAGCUUUACAAUACCAGCUUUACAACACCAGCUUUACAAUACCAGCUUUACAACACCAGCUUUACAACACCAGCUUUACAACACAACACCAGCUUUACAAUACCAGCUUUACAACACCAGCUUUACAACAUUCUCCCCCUUCUUUUCCCUCCCGGAACUUCUCAGUGA
ensembl:lncRNA